CCUACGGGAGGCAGCAGUGAGGAAUAUUGGUCAAUGGGCGCAAGCCUGAACCAGCCAAGUCGCGUGAGGGAUGACGGUCUUAUGGAUUGUAAACCUCUUUGGUCGGGGUGCAAGGCACGCCAAGUGAGGCGGGAAGGCGAGUACCAGAAGAAAAAGCAUGUGCUAACUCCGUGCCAGCAGUCGGUGUAAUACGGAGGGUGCGAGCGUGAGCCGGAUUUAUUGGGUGAAAAGGGUGCGUAGGCGGAAGGUUAAGUCAGCCGUCAAAUGUUGGUGCUCAAUCCCGGCCUGCCGUUGAAACCGGUCAUCUUGAGUGAGCGAGAAGUAUGCGGAAUGCGUGGUGUAGCGGUGAAAUGCAUAGAUAUCACGCAGAACUCCGAUUGCGAAGGCAGCAUACCGGCGCUCAACUGACGCUGAGGCACGAAAGCGUGGGGAUCGAACAGGAUUAGAUACCCCAGUAGUC
rnacentral:rRNA from 1 species